rnacentral:lncRNA from 1 species
ACAGUUUUGUUUGUCUUUCGUUUGGCCCCUAAAGACGAUUAAAAAUUCAAAUUGAAACAGGUGGUCCAAAACGCAUAGUGACGUCAUAUAGUUGUGCAUGUACAUUCUGCACCAAUAAAGUAAACAAAA